GUUCAAAUUUCUAUUUCAGACAAACGAAUGUAAAAUAUCAUAACAUCAUGAAUGAGUUUAAGGAGCCAGAAAAAUCUUACAAAUUUUUCAAAUAUGCUGAUCCAGAACCAGGUGAAGAAGUUGUUAUUUCCGGAAUCGCUAGUAGAUUUCCAAAAUCCAACAAUGUGUACGAAUUCAAAGAUAGUAUUUUUAAUUGCAAAGAUUGCAUCACGGAUAACGGAACAGAAGCAGAGCAUUCAGAAAUUCCACGACGAACGGGGAAAAUUAACAAUAUCGAAAAAUUCGAUGCAUUAUUUUUUGACGUCGAUUUUAAAGAAGCACAUACUAUGAAUCCUAUAGGCAGAAUAUUGUUCGAACAUACUUAAGAAUCUAUUGUAGAUGCUGGAAUUCAUCCAAAAGAUCUUCGUGGAACGAGGACAGGUGUAUUCUUAGGUUCAUGCUUCUCCGAUACAGAGCAAACUUGGACCUACAACAAACUCAAGAUAAGUGGUGUUGGUAUCAUAAGCUGUAACAAAGCUUUUAUAACCAAAAGAAUUUCGCAUUGGUUGAGGGUCACUGGACCAACAUAUAACAUCGAUACCGCGUGCAGUUCAAGUCUAUUUGCAAUGGAACACGCAUAUAGAUCUAUACAUAACCGACAAUGCGUUUACGUAAUCGUCGCUGGAUCAAAUCUUUGCCUUCAUCCAUUCCUAACUUUGCAAUUUAAACGUUUAGAAAUAUUGUCUGAGGAUGGUCGUUGCAAGUGUUUCGACAAGGAUGCAGAUGGUUAUGUGCGUGGCGAAGCCGUAGUUGUUGCAUUUCGGCAAAAAAGAAAAAAUGCUCAAAGAUUCUACGAAACAAUUAUACAUGCGAAAACAAAUUGGGAUGGUUAUAAGGAACCGGGAAUAACAUUCCCUUCUAGGAAAUUCAGAGUACUCUUUUCUUCGAUGAAUGCAGUGUACUAACGACUUCUCUAAAUUACAUCGAAGCUCAUGGUACAGGAACUAAAGUCGGUGAUCCUGAAGAAAUAAAUGCUAUGGAUCAGAUUUUCACAAAAAACAGAACCAAUCCUCUUAAAGUCGGUUCCAUCAAAUCAACUUUGGGUCAUACCGAACCAGCCAGUGGAAUGCGCUCCAUUGCUAAGGCGGUAAUAUCGAUGGAGUCAGGCCUAAUACCCCCAAAUAUUAAUCUUAAUCAACAACGCAAAGACGUAAAAGCUUUUACAGAAGGGAGAAUCAUGGCUAUUACCGAAACGUCUCCGCUUGAUGGGGAAUACAUAGCCAUUAACUCUUUCUGCUUUGGUGGAGCUAAUGCUCACAUCAUAAUUAAAUUAAAUCCAAAAACAAAGGUCAAUAAAGGACUGCGAAGUGACGAUUUACCAAGACUCGUAACUGUUUCUGGACGUACCGAAGAGGCAGUUGUAACCAUAUUAAAUGAUGUAGGUGAAACAUUCUUUCAAAUAGAAAACAAGGUAUUAUACUUGUUUAUUCUAGAAUAAAAUAGAGCAAUUCAAUUUCAACAUUCUAUUAAGUAGAUCGAUAAUCGACCGAUAGACGUCGAAUUUAUUCGUCUCUAUCAUGAUGUUCAUCUUAAAGAAACAUCAGGUCAUUUAUGUCGAGGAUACACGAUAAAUAGUUCUAAAUAGUCUGAAGAAAAAUUGAAAGAGAUGGAAAAUUAUUCUGGUAUAAAAAAACCAAAAUAGUUUGUUUUUUCUGCAAUGGAAUCGCAGUGGUCUGAAAUGGGUACGAUAAUUUUUGAUCCAGUAAUUCUUCGUAACUAUAAAAAUAAUAACCAUUAUGAUUAUCAAAUAUAUUGGAAUUUAUAAUUAACCAAGUUAUGUUCUGAUGAGAUUUCCUACAUUUGCCAAAGCAAUAGAGAAAAGCGACGCUGCAUUAAAGCAAUAUAAAUUGAAUAUUUAUAAAAUAAUAACUGAAAAAGAUAAUAGCAUGGUCGACAAUAUCUUGCAUUCGAUCGUCGGAAUUGCUGCAGUUCAGGUGUAAUACCAGACUACAUCAUCUGACAUUCCGUUAGUGAACUUGGUUUUGCCUACGCUGAUGGAUGUUUUACAACAGAGGAAAUGAUAUUAGCAGCAUAUUCGCGAGGAAUUGCCUUGAUAGAAACAAAAAUAUCUCAUAGUUCUAUGGCAACGGUAGGGCUUUCCUAUGAAGAUCUGAAGAAUUGCUGUCCUGCUGAUAUCGAUAUUGCAUGUCACAAUGGAACUAAAAGUACAUCUAUUAGAGGACCGACCGAUUCUGUGAAGCAAUUCGUUAAAAAAUUACAGACAACUGAAGUUAUCAUAGAAGUGGUAGCGUGCAAUAAUAUACCUUAUCAGUUAUAUACCCUAGCCGUUAUAUCUCAGCAGUUGGAUCGAAACUUUUUGUAUAUUUAAAAAAGUGAUACCAGUAGCGAAAUCACGA